rnacentral:rRNA from 1 species
AUGGUUCAUAAGGCUAAGGACGGCGGCCACAUCCGCGGUGUUGUUCCACACCUUAUCGCGGGUGGUCUCAUGCACCUUCAAUAUGCGGACGACACCUUGCUGCUCUUUGAGCCUGACGAUCAUAGUGUAGCCUCGAUCAAACUCAUUCUCCUCGCGUUCGAGAUCAUUUCUGGCCUUAAGAUCAAUUUCCUUAAGAGCGAGGUGAUUGCCAUUGGGAUGGACCCUCUCCUCGCUGUCCGUAUCGCCAAUCUGCUUAAUUGCAAGCUAGGGAGCUUUCCAAUUAAGUACUUGGGCCUUCCUAUCUCGGAUAAACACAUUUCUAUCCUUGAGUGGGAACCCCUGUACGGCAAGGUGGCGAACCGGGUUAGCCCUUGGCACGGCCGGUUCCUCUCCUCGGCGGCCAGGCUGAUCCUGACUAAUUCCAGCCUCUCUUCCCUCCCUCUGUUCACAAUGGGCAUGUUUUUGCUGGCUGAUGGGGUUCAUGCCAAGCUCGAUACCCACCGGUCCAAUUCCAAUCCGCCAGCUGUCUCUUUCAAAAGACCCCUCUUCGCUAACGAACGAGCCUGCUGGGACGGGCUUGUUGCUACUUUGGAUGGAGUGGUUCUCCGCCCUGAGGCCUACUCGGUCUCCUGGGCCCUCUCAUGCUUUGGGAAGUUUUCUGUACAAUCCCUUUACAACAAACUGACUGAGGGACCCACCCUGGACAUAGCUAGGGGGCUAUGGAAAGCGUCUAUCCCCCUGAAGAUCAAAAUUUUCUUAUGGCAAAUGUUUCGUGACUGCCUGCCGUCCUCUAAUAACAUCGCUCUUAGGAACGGGCCUUCCGACGGCUCUUGCGUGCUAUGCGGACAGCAGGAAGAUGCCAAUCACAUCUUUUUUCACUGCCACCUUGCCCACUUUGCUUGGAGUGCGGUUAGGGAGGCUUUUGAUCAGAAUUGGAACCCGCUCUCGGCUUCGGAUCUUCGUGUUAUUCUUGUCGCUCAUAGGGGCGGUUUUGGGCAUGUGAUGUGGAGAUGCGUGGAUAAGCCCCCCUCCCUCCAUGCUCUCGACGUCAGGGUUGUUGAAAGCGUAGUCGGUAAUGGGGUGCGCAGAGAGCACACCCGAAUCUUCGCAGGAGGACGGGAUAGCCCAUGGCCAAGACUAGAUCGGGACAGGGCUACAUAUUUUGCACCAAUAUGA